rnacentral:rRNA from 1 species
UACGAAGGGGGCUAGCGUUGCUCGGAAUUACUGGGCGUAAAGGGCUCGUAGGCGGCCAACUAAGUCAGACGUGAAAUCCCUCGGCUUAACCGGGGAACUGCGUCUGAUACUGGAUGGCUUGAGUUUGGGAGAGGGAUGCGGAAUUCCAGGUGUAGCGGUGAAAUGCGUAGAUAUCUGGAGGAACACCGGUGGCGAAGGCGGCAUCCUGGACCAACACUGACGCUGAGGAGCGAAAGCCAGGGGAGCAAACGGGG